rnacentral:rRNA from 2 species
AGAGUUUGAUCCUGGCUCAGGAUGAACGCUGGCGGCGUGCCUAAUACAUGCAAGUCGAACGAGUUCUGAUUAUUGAAAGGUGCUUGCAUCUUGAUUUGAUUUUGAACGAGUGGCGGACGGGUGAGCAACACGUGGGUAACCUGCCCUUAAGUGGGGGAUAACAUUUGGAAACAGAUGCUAAUACCGCAUAAAUCCAAGAACCGCAUGGUUCUUGGCUGAAAGAUGGCGUAAGCUAUCGCUUUUGGAUGGACCCGCGGCGUAUUAGCUAGUUGGUGAGGUAACGGCUCACCAAGGCAAUGAUACGUAGCCGAACUGAGAGGUUGAUCGGCCACAUUGGGACUGAGACACGGCCCAAACUCCUACGGGAGGCAGCAGUAGGGAAUCUUCCACAAUGGACGCAAGUCUGAUGGAGCAACGCCGCGUGAGUGAAGAAGGCUUUCGGGUCGUAAAACUCUGUUGUUGGAGAAGAAUGGUCGGCAGAGUAACUGUUGUCGGCGUGACGGUAUCCAACCAGAAAGCCACGGCUAACUACGUGCCAGCAGCCGCGGUAAUACGUAGGUGGCAAGCGUUAUCCGGAUUUAUUGGGCGUAAAGCGAGCGCAGGCGGUUUUUUAAGUCUGAUGUGAAAGCCCUCGGCUUAACCGAGGAAGUGCAUCGGAACUGGGAAACUUGAGUGCAGAAGAGGACAGUGGAACUCCAUGUGUAGCGGUGAAAUGCGUAGAUAUAUGGAAGAACACCAGUGGCGAAGGCGGCUGUCUGGUCUGUAACUGACGCUGAGGCUCGAAAGCAUGGGUAGCGAACAGGAUUAGAUACCCUGGUAGUCCAUGCCGUAAACGAUGAAUGCUAGGUGUUGGAGGGUUUCCGCCCUUCAGUGCCGCAGCUAACGCAUUAAGCAUUCCGCCUGGGGAGUACGACCGCAAGGUUGAAACUCAAAGGAAUUGACGGGGGCCCGCACAAGCGGUGGAGCAUGUGGUUUAAUUCGAAGCAACGCGAAGAACCUUACCAGGUCUUGACAUCUUUUGAUCACCUGAGAGAUCAGCUUUCCCCUUCGGGGGCAAAAUGACAGGUGGUGCAUGGUUGUCGUCAGCUCGUGUCGUGAGAUGUUGGGUUAAGUCCCGCAACGAGCGCAACCCUUAUGACUAGUUGCCAGCAUUUAGUUGGGCACUCUAGUAAGACUGCCGGUGACAAACCGGAGGAAGGUGGGGAUGACGUCAAAUCAUCAUGCCCCUUAUGACCUGGGCUUCACACGUGCUACAAUGGAUGGUACAACGAGUUGCGAGACCGCGAGGUCAAGCUAAUCUCUUAAAGCCAUUCUCAGUUCGGACUGUAGGCUGCAACUCGCCUACACGAAGUCGGAAUCGCUAGUAAUCGCGGAUCAGCACGCCGCGGUGAAUACGUUCCCGGGCCUUGUACACACCGCCCGUCACACCAUGAGAGUUUGUAACACCCGAAGCCGGUGGCGUAACCCUUUUAGGGAGCGAGCCGUCUAAGGUGGGACAAAUGAUUAGGGUGAAGUCGUAACAAGGUAACC